rnacentral:rRNA from 1 species
UACGAAGGGGGCUAGCGUUGUUCGGAAUUACUGGGCGUAAAGCGCGCGCAGGCGGUCUUCCAAGUCAGUGGUGAAAGCCCGGAGCUCAACUCCGGAACUGCCAUUGAAACUGUGAGACUUGAGUAUGAGAGAGGUGAGUGGAAUUCCCAGUGUAGAGGUGAAAUUCGUAGAUAUUCGGAGGAACACCAGUGGCGAAGGCGGCUCACUGGUCCAUUACUGACGCUGAGGUGCGAAAGCGUGGGGAGCAAACA